CACAGGAAGUUCCCGUGAAGGUUUGUGAGAUGAAUGUCUUGUUAUAUAACCCAGGCUGGCCCUGAACCCAGCCUCUCGAUUGCUGGAACUACUGGCCUGUGCCACUUCGUGUAUAAUAUUAGCUAGCCUGAAGCUGGCCAGCUAGACCAGGAUGGUCUUAGGCCAUCUUCCUUCUGCCGUCGGAGUUUUGGGAAUACAGUCUUGGCUCACCACUCUUAGUAGCACACCUUCUUUUCCUAGCCCCCAUCCCUGUUUCUCCUUGCAUGCUUAUGUGUGUACAUGUAUGAGGAGGUUACAAGCUGAUGUUAAGUAUCUUCCUCGAUUGCUUUCUAUUUACCAGUGGAGAAUGUAUUUGGCAAACAUCUUCAAAGCCAUAUUAUCGGGAUCUAGAAGUAAGAUACACAGGCACACAGGAGUGUGUGUACGGGGGGAUGGAUGGACAUGGUGACUCCAGGCUGACGUGGUAAUUGAUGGCAGGAUCGAUCUUAGUCCUGGGUUGGUCUUGGUCUGUCUGUCUCUCUGGCAGGAUCUCUCAGUGAACCAGAGGCUCUCCAGUUCAGCUAGUCAGCCUGCCUUCAUCUCUGUCUCAGCAGCUUGAAUGCUAGGAUUGCAGAAUCUAUUUGGUGAAAGGAGAGAACUUCCAUCUUUCAGAAAAGGAAGACCAUCUUUGUCUACACAGCAAGUUCAAAAUCAGCCUGAGCUACAGAAAUGCUAAGCAGCCAUUGCAGAAGAGACUCAGAAAGACAAUGUUGCAACAAGAAUUGCUACACCUAGGAUGCUAUGUGAAAGAGCAGAACUGAAGAGUCCAGCCUGUCCUGUGAUUGCUCCACGCA